rnacentral:rRNA from 1 species
UACGAAGGGGGCUAGCGUUGUUCGGAAUCACUGGGCGUAAAGGGCGCGUAGGCGGUCGCGUAAGUCAGGUGUGAAAUCUCAGGGCUCAACCCUGAAACUGCACUUGAUACUGCGUGGCUCGGGUACUGGAGAGGAGACUGGAAUUUACGGUGUAGCAGUGAAAUGCGUAGAUAUCGUAAGGAAGACCAGUGGCGAAGGCGAGUCUCUGGACAGUUACCGACGCUGAGGCACGAAGGUCAGGGGAGCAAACGGG